rnacentral:rRNA from 1 species
AGCGGAUGCUUUUGGCGAGGUGCCUUGCGAGUUCCGUGGAACGGGACGCCAUAGAGGGUGAGAGCCCCGUCUGGUCGGACACCGAGCCUCUGUAAAGCUCCUUCGACGAGUCGAGUAGUUUGGGAAUGCUGCUCAAAAUGGGAGGUAUAUGUCUUCUAAAGCUAAAUAUUGGCCAGAGACCGAUAGCGCACAAGUAGAGUGAUCGAAAGAUGAAAAGCACUUUGAAAAGAGGGUUAAAAAGUACGUGAAAUUGUUGAAAGGGAAGCGCCUAUGACCAGACUUGGGCCCGGUGAAUCAUCCAGCGUUCUCGCUGGUGCACUUUGCCGGGCACAGGCCAGCAUCAGUUUGGCGCGGGGGAAAAAGGUUUUGGGAAUGUGGCUCCCUCGGGAGUGUUAUAGCCCAUUGCGUAAUACCCUGCGCCGGACUGAGGUACGCGCAUUGCAAGGAUGCUGGCGUAAUGGUCAUCAGCGACCCGUCUUGAAACACGGACCAAGGAGUCGUCUUCGUAUGCGAGUGUUCGGGUGUCAAACCCCUACGCGUAAUGAAAGUGAACGCAGGUGAGAGCUUCGGCGCAUCAUCGACCGAUCCUGAUGUUCUCGGAUGGAUUUGAGUAAGAGCAUACGGGGCCGGACCCGAAAGAA